GAAACCCGGAGCCUGGGGCCAAGUUCUGGGAGCCACACUUUUCAAAGGAAAUAAGAAAACAGGACAUUCACUGGACAUUAUUCAGCCUUUGAAAAGAAGGAAGUCCUGCCAUAUGCAACGACAUGGAUGAACCUAGAGGACCUGAUGCUAAGUGACAUAAACCGGUCCCAGAAGGACAAGUACUGCGUGAUUCCACUUAACGUGAGAGGUUCAUUUGGAGAUGGACAGGGAGCCCAGCUCUGGUAGAUGAGAUGUGAAGAGAACUAUGUGAAGGAACUUCUAAGGAUGACUGUCCACUCUGAUGAAGAGAAAAGG